UGUCUGAACAUGGGGGGACCAUCCUCCAAGGCUAAAUACUCCUUACCGACCGAUAGUGAACCAGUACCGUGAGGGAAAGGCGAAAAGAACCCCGUUGAGGGGAGUGAAAUAGAACCUGAAACCGUGUGCGUACAAGCAGUAGGAGCAGACUUGUUCUGUGACUGCGUACCUUUUGUAUAAUGGGUCAGCGACUUAAUUUAUGUAGCGAGCUUAACCGAAUAGGGGAGGCGCAGGGAAACCGAGUCUUAAUAGGGCGACUAGUUGCAUGGAUUAGACCCGAAACCUGGCGAUCUAUCCAUGGUCAGGGUGAAGGUGAGGUAACACUUACUGGAGGCCCGAACUCACGUAUGUUGAAAAAUGCGGAGAUGAACUGUGGAUCGGAGUGAAAGGCUAAUCAAGCCAGGAGAUAGCUGGUUCUCCUCGAAAGCUAUUUAGGUAGCGCCUCAUAUGUAUCCUCUCGGGGGUAGAGCACUGUUAUGGCUAGGGGGUCAUUGCGACUUACCAAACCAUUGCAAACUCCGAAUACCGAUGAGUGAUAUCCGGGAGACAGACGGCGGGUGCUAAGGUCCGUCGUCAAAAGGGAAACAGCCCUAACCUACAGCUAAGGUCCCCAAGUCAUCACUAAGUGGGAAAGCAUGUGGAACUUCCAAAAC
rnacentral:rRNA from 1 species